UGAGUGUUAUGAUGGUAGUUAUUUAUUAAUAACUCAGUCUAGCUCUUUCACCCUUAGUCGAAAUAUCGAUUAAGG
rfam:Aerococcus christensenii strain CCTG28831, complete genome.